CCUACGGGAGGCAGCAGUGAGGAAUAUUGGUCAAUGGACGCAAGUCUGAACCAGCCAUGCCGCGUGCAGGAAGACGGCUCUAUGAGUUGUAAACUGCUUUUGUACGAGGGUAAACGCAUACACGCGUAUCUGUCUGAAAGUAUCGUAUGAAUAAGGAUCGGCUAACUCCGUGCCAGCAGCCGCGGUAAUACGGAGGAUUCAAGCGUUAUCCGGAUUUAUUGGGUUUAAAGGGUGCGUAGGUGGUUGGAUAAGUUAGAGGUGAAAUCUUGAGGCUCAACCUCAGAAUUGCCUUUGAUACUGUCAGGCUAGAGAGUAGUUGAGGUAGGCGGAAUGUAUGGUGUAGCGGUGAAAUGCUUAGAGAUCAUGCAGAACACCGAUUGCGAAGGCAGCUUACCAAGCUACUUCUGACGCUGAGGCACGAAAGCGUGGGGAGCAAACAGGAUUAGAUACCCCUGUAGUC
rnacentral:rRNA from 1 species